UACGAAGGGGGCUAGCGUUGCUCGGAAUCACUGGGCGUAAAGGGCGCGUAGGCGGCCAUUCAAGUCAGAGGUGAAAGCCCAAGGCUCAACCUUGGAACUGCCUUUGAUACUGUUUGGCUUGAGACCGGUAGAGGUAAGUGGAACUGCGAGUGUAGAGGUGAAAUUCGUAGAUAUUCGCAAGAACACCGGUGGCGAAGGCGGCCUGCUGGGCAGUUUAGCUGACACUGAGGCGCGACAGCGUGGGGAGCAAACAGG
rnacentral:rRNA from 1 species